rnacentral:tmRNA from 1 species
GGGGGUGAUUGGCUUCGACAGGAAGAGUGAGGUCCUAGGUGCAUGCCAAGCCGAGACAACUUGUAAAACUGUUUCAAAAAAAUAGUCGCAAACGACGAAACCUACGCUGUCGCAGCUUAAAAAACUGUGUGCGAGAUCAAAGGCAUACUAAGCAUGUAGUACCGAAGAUUGAUCCUUUUUGGACGCGGGUUCAAUUCCCGCCACCUCCACCA